AGAGAGACAGUGGGCUUAGGGCGAAAUCAGAGGAAGAAGUUUCAAUGAUGAAACCUUAAAAAAAGCAUUCAAACUUUGAUGAUAAAAGAAGUAGAUAUGGGUCUAGUUCAAUUUACUUGAAGAUUUUGGGAAAAUGGAUAUAUGGUUUGUGCGGUCAAAACAUGAAGAGAAAGACAAAGAUGUUUUAUAAUCGGCCGUCUUCGAAUUUCAAAUGAGGUAGGAAAAUGGGA
rnacentral:lncRNA from 1 species